ensembl:lncRNA
GAAGACUUCUAAUGGAAUAAAGAGAAACCAGUAAAGUUUUUAGGGGCUACUUGGUAUUAGAAUGAGAAACUGGAAACAGGGGGCCUUAAAAACGUGACCAAUUUUCUCCACAUGACGUUGGCUGAGUUCUGGGCCUGAAAAUGCAUCUAAAAGACUGAAAUCUUCCAAAGUACCGCAGGGCUUAGAAAAUAAAGCUUUCCCAAGAAGGAACGGCCCGCCUCAAAACCAAGCCCAGUUCCUGCCUCCUCCUGAGAUUUGCCAGAUUUUGAAACUCCAUGGGGACAGCAUCCAGACAGCUGGGAAAACAUAACUAGUCCUGUGAAGAAGCAUGAAUAUAUAAUUGAUAAACAACAGAAAAAAAAAUAGACAACAGACACACAAAUCAUUCAGCUAUUGGAAUCAGUAGACGGAACUUUAUAAUAAUGAGUGGAAGAACUGGAACUCUCAUGCACUGCUGGUGGAAGUGUAAAAUCCAUGUAUCUGCCAGAGCACACUAAGGAUACAAAAACUACACAGUACUUUGGACAGGAAAUUUUACUGUGAAGAAUUAUUAAGGGGCUUCCUUGGUGGCUCAGCAGUGAAGAAUCUGCCUGCCAAUGCAGGAGACACAGGUUCGAUCCCUGAUGGGGGAAGAUCCCACAUGCUGCAGUGCAACUAAGCCCCUGCACCACGACUUUUGAGCCUGUGCUCUAGAGCCCAGGAGCUGCAACUAUGAGGCCACGUGCUACAUCUACUGAUGCCUGUGUGCCUUGAGCCUGUGUUCCGCAACAAGAUAAGCCACUGCACUGAGAAGCCCAUGAACUGCAACUAGAGAGAGAGCAGCU